AGAAGAAAUCAAUUAUAGACACUAAUAUAAUUAGAUCUGCUCUUCAUAGACAAACUUGGGAUUUGCGAUCCCAGGUAAGAUCGGUUCAGGAUCAUGGGAUCCUUUUCUAUCAGAUAGGAAGGGCUGUUNNNNNNNAGUAAUUGCCCCAUAGAUCCUAUAUCUAUCUAUAUGAAGAAGAAAUCAUGUAACGAAGGGGAUUCUUAUUUGUACAAAUGGUACUUCGAACUUGGAACGAGCAUGAAGAAAUUAACGAUACUUCUUUAUCUU
rnacentral:misc_RNA from 1 species